UGCUCACAGGAGGUAUCUUCACCAAGCUCUGGAGUCCUCUGAUGUCUUCUUCCUGGCUCCCUCUCUCCUUCCUCACAUCCUUCCCCACUUACCUCUCUAUCUUUUCUGUUUCCUUCCCUCCUCCUGCUCUGUCUCCUUCCUGUGUGGUUGCCCACACCCUGUUUUACUGUUUUCUCUUGCUGCUCUCAUCUUUUCUACAUUUUCUGCUUUCUGCCCCUUUUCUGGUCAUCCUUGGUUUCUCAUCUCCUGUGUCCUGACCACCUCUCCCCAUUUUCCUUUUUCUGAUCCAUCAGGACCUGAGACUCCUUCCUUCUCUGCCCACCGCCCCCUCCCACCUCCUAAGGUGCUGACUCCAAAGCACACAGCCUUCUGUGCAGCUGUUCACACCCUGGGCCUCCGGAGGGGCCUCAUUGCCAAAGUGUGUCUGUCCCCCUGUGGGUGUCUUAGUUGGUGUGUGUGUGUGUGUGUUUUGGGGUGGGAGUAGGUAGAUAGGCAUUGGGCUCACUUUCUCCCAGUAGAGGGGGGUGCACAGCGUGUCUCCCAUUUAAGUUGAAAAGAAGUAUCUGGAGGUCAAUAAUGUCCAACGGGCAGGAUACUCAAAGCAGAGACCUUCGAUCCGUGGGCCCCACCUGGUGCUCAGCCUCACCUGAGAUUGGCUCCAGAAUUUUUGCAGGCUUACUAAACACCGACCGACUAAAGGGCAUUUUAGAGGAAGCCAGGAGUGAAUGCCUUCCAGCCCAACUACUCUGUGGAAUCAAAGGAGCUCUUGAUGAACCCCAGGGUCUUGAAGACACCUGUCUGCAAUGUUGGUGAGGGGCAGUAAUGUGGCCCUCCUGUCUCAGUGAUCAAAACAGCUUGUCCUGCCUCUGCAGGGAGAAGAGCAUGGAUCCACCAGCCUUAGAAGUGAUGUAAAUGUGGACAAAGAAUUCUGCCUGCAUUUUCAGAAAACAGUGAAUUAUCUUGUCCAUCAUGUCCUCAGGGCGUCAGCCUCUGUUUCAGCCCUAAUAUCCUAUCCUGAGGGGAAUUCAGGAUGGAGAAAAACAAGGUACUGAUCCUAGAAAGUUAAGAUGCAUAUCAGAGGAUAAUUUUUGUGAGCCCAGAGCACUAUAUCUUCCCAUACAUAGAAAAGCAGUAAAAUCAUUGACUUGAGACAUCUGUUUUUUGUGAUCAGCAAUAAUCUAUUGAUUUUAACUACAUGUGUUCCCCCAGCCCCAGUAAAAUCUCCUGUAUAUCCUGACUCCUCCCUUACCUCUUUGGAACAGUUCCUCAGAGCUAUCUGAGAGUGUCUCCUUGGCUAGAGUCCUCAGUAAUAUCUCCAAAUUAAACAUAAAUUUGUGACUUUUAGGUUUUUCCUUUUUUUUCCUCAGUCAAUGGUUUUGCUGACUACAGAAGGCACCCAGGGAAAGCUUCUCCUCUUCUCCUGAACUCUAUGAAGCACUGAGCCUUCUAUACCACCAGAGGCCUGUUGCGCCCAUCUGCCUCCUUAGGGAGUCCAGAUGAACUGAGGUGAGUCUCUCUUGGGUUUUGGAUUUCCUGUUAUUGUCUGAUAAUCCUAAAUUUUAUUCUGUGGUGUUAAGCUCAUCUCUGGAGGAGUAGGUUCU
rnacentral:lncRNA from 1 species